ensembl:lncRNA
UCUUCCCCUUUAUAGAGGGGGGGGGGGGGGCGAGGCUGAGACCUGUGUGUGUGUGUGUGUGUGUGUGUGUGUGUGUGUGUGUGUGUGUGUGUGUGUGUGUGUGUGUGUGUGUGUGUGUGUGUGUGUGUGUGUGUCUGAUCCCAGACUCGGCCUCUUGAACAAGCAGGAUGUUGAAGUACUUCAACUAGUUUCAUCAAACUGAUCCCAGUUGGUGUUUUGCUUGUUGGACAUUGGAGGACCACUAAUUAACGCCCCCCCAAAUUGGGUUAUAGAUCAAACUUUUGUAACGAAGGGUUCCGUGUGGAACCAUUGCACGCUAGACGGGUUCCCCAUAGAAGAGUUCUUUUGGGGGGAACCGUGACAGAUUUUAGGAGAAAACUGAGCAUUUCCGGUGGAACCUUUUAAUAAGAUGUUCUACCAGAAAAGGGCUUUUUUAAAGGGACAGGAUGCAGAACCCUGUGAGGUUCUAGUUGGCAUGUUAAAGGAACUCUAACAUUUUUAGAAGAUAUUUAUUUGAUUAACAAACACCAGAAGAAGUAGAAACACUGAUCUUUGGGGUUAUUGAACAAAAGGAAUUUAUUUCUGUGUUUUUCGUGUCAUUCUUGUUUAUUCUGAAGUACAACUACGUUUGAUGUGGUAACUAAACUGUGUUACACUUAAAGAUCAGGGCUCAUUUUUAAACUCCAUUUAUCCGUUCUAGUUAUUCCGUAGAGAAAUCUCUACCAAUACGUGUAACGAGGGUCUGCACUGACUGAGGUUCUAGGCUGAUUUGUAGAACUUUUACAUUGAAACGUGGCAGAAGAACCCUGCAGGGGCAAAGAGAGGAACACAUUGGAGAGGUUCCAGCAAAGAGAGGAACACAUUGGAGAGGUUCCCGCAAAGAGAGGAACACAUUGGAGAGGUUCCCGCAAAGAGAGGAACACAUUGGAGAGGUUCCCGCAAAGAGAGGAACACAUUGGAGAGGUUCCCGCAAAGAGAGGAACACAUUGGAGAGGUUCCCGCAAAGAGAGGAACACAUUGGAGAGGUUCCCGCAAAGAGAGGAACACAUUGGAGAGGUUCCCGCAAAGAGAGGAACACAUUGGAGAGGUUCCCGCAAAGAGAGGAACACAUUGGAGAGGUUCCAGCAGUGGUUGUGAUGCUGCAGGAACAUCUGCUGGUUACUGUGAGGCGAUUCUGUUCAUCCAGAAUAUUUCAACAUUUUGCUUUCAAGCUGUUUGACGCCUUUCGCACUGAAGCAGAAGUUCCACGUUGUUGGAAACGCGCUGGUGUGUCUUCUCGCCGAGGGGGGGGGUCUCAUGUAACUACUGGCAACCGCUCUGCAAACGCUUCUCCUCAGCAGGUUGGAACAUUUGCACAAAUACUGGUGAAGGGAAAGUUACAGCGUGCGUCCUGGAUGAAAUGAGACUUGAAUUUAACGUGCGGUCAGAAUGAAGCCAGAAUGAAGCGGGGGGGGGUAGUAAAGUAUGAACUAGUUACGGCACUGUAAAUAUUUUGUGUCCAGGUUGCGUCGCUUGUUUGAAAUGCAGUUGAUCUGUUAUUUCGUUUCAGUUUCUUGCAUUGUGGCUCAACAGGGUGCGCUUGUUUCUGUUCGCACCCCGCUGUGGUGUUUAACCCGACAGAGGGAAGGAAUGUGUACAAACAUCUAACAUCCACGUUUGCUGACUAAUUAUUACGACGUUCAUCUCCAGUGUGGUUUAAGUGUUUUUACCAUGAAGGUCAAUAAAGAGUCUUUAUGUUGCCCUUCAAAACAAAACCAACAACGUUUAAUGUCAUGAUGAACAAGUUUACAACUAACGGAUGUUUUAUUAUUGUGAUAUGUUGAAAGUGUGACCUGUGUAUUGUUCCUGAUGACCUGCUGCUCUGACUCCUUCAACUGGAAGUAAAACAGACGUCUUUUAAACUUCAACGGCUCUUUUUUCCUGUUUGUGUUUGUUCAAUGGAUUCCUCAUUCUCAAUAUGGAUUCUGAUAUCUGGGUUAAUCCGCACCUUAUAAAGUCAUUUUAUUUAUUUACUGUGAAAGCACAGCGACCUGUCGCGGCUCCGCUUCCACAGGCUCCUUUUAGAGGGUCGGGGUAGUUCAUUCAGUAUGUGGGGUGACCAGCAGGGGGCAGCACCACAUCAGAGUCACCAGUAUAUGAGGUGACCAGCAGGGGGCAGCACCACAUCAGAGUCACCAGUAUAUGAGGUGACCAGCAGAGGGCAGCACCACACCACGGAGUCAGACCCAAUCAGAGAAACACCGCUUUCAUCAUCAGAGUUCCGCACAUGAUAAAAUAAUGCACUCAUAUAUUGUGUGCUUUAGAAAAAGGUGACAUGAAAAUGGCUCAUCUUAAUUUUUUCCAAUAACAUAUAUAGUAAAAAUAACUAUAUACUUUACAAACAUUAAUCAUGGAUUAUUAGGUUGUUCCUUCAAAUAGUUAAAAGACCUUUUCAGAUUAUAGUGGUUAUUAAUAAUUAUAAUCUUUUUAAUAUUUUAUCUAUUCUGCAUAUUGUAAAUAC